AUUGAACGCUGGCGGCAGGCCUAACACAUGCAAGUCGAGCGGCGCGGCGGACGGGUGAGUAAUGCCUAGGAAUCUGCCUGGUAGUGGGGGAUACCUUCCGGAAACGGGCGCUAAUACCGCAUGCUAUCAGAUGAGCCUCGGUCGGAUUAGCUAGUUGGUGGGGUAAAGGCCUACCAAGGCGACGAUCCGUAACUGGUCUGAGAGGAUGAUCAGUCACACUGGAACUGAGACACGGCCCAGACUCCUACGGGAGGCAGCAGUAGGGAAUAUUGGACAAUGGGCGAAAGCCUGACCCAGCCAUGCCGCGUGUGUGAAGAAGGUCUUCGGAUUGUAAAGCACUUUAAGUUGGGAGGCGUUACCAACAGAAUAAGCACCGGCUAACUUCGUGCCAGCAGCCGCGGUAAUAC
rnacentral:rRNA from 1 species